UCCACCGUUGCAAAAUCCACCGCCAUGGACGGCCGUUCUCCGCCGCCUCCUCCUCCUCCACCCCUCCCCCUGAUUCACCUCCGUACCACCGGUCAGAUCCUCAAACAAACCAUCACCGUCUUCUCCGUCCACCAUCACCUCCUCAUCUUCAUCCUUCUCUCAUUCCUCAUCCUAUCUCUUCGCUCCAAUGUCGAAACCGCCACUCACUCCCUUACUUCCUUCAUCGACCACGACCCUUCCAUAAAAUCACUCCUCUGUCGCCUCCACAUAUCCUCCAAUCCCCCCUCUCCACCCGGCAUCACCAAUCGCUAUCGCCGGCGGCCUUUCCUUCAGCUCACCCGUGUCGGAACCCUAGACGAUGAUUUCUUCUCUGGAGAUGAAGAGCUCGAUCACCGAUUUUUUGGAACCCUUCCCAGACCACAACUGAAUGCUACCUCACUCAUAGUUGACUCCUUUGAUCCCCGACUAGGGUUCUCUAAUUUCAUAUCUGAUAACGGAAUUAGGGUUUCAGAGACCGUGCGUUCUAUGGUUAAGGUUUCUUUCAAAGCAGUCGAGGCAAUCGAGAAAGAAGAGAAGAUGGAAACCGGUGAUAGUAACGAUUAUGCUGUGAUUAAAGAGAAUGAGAGUGAGAGUAAUGAUGAUUUGCAGCUUUUUCUUAAGAGGUUUGAGCUGGAACACCAUGAAAUGACUGCCUUAUUAUUUCUUCUUGGCGUUUUAUCUGCUUCGUAUGGGUUUGCAAUUCUUGGGUUUGUUGUUACUUAUGCUUGGGUUCUCGGGAUUAUUUUUGUAGUGGUGGUGAAUGAUUUGCUGAAGAGUUAUAAGUCUUUUUUCCGUACUAUGUGGGACGGUUCAAAUAUAGGUUUGAAAAGGUUGUCUGGGUUUAUCCUUAUGAGAUGGGCUGUUAGGGAUGCAUUGACUCAGCUACUGGGUGUUUGGUUUUUUGGAGAGAUUGAGGAUCAGUAUUUGUUUUUCAAGAUAUUCGUUAGGUUGAAGUUGAUGCCAUUUUCAAUUGCGUCUCCUUGGGUGAAGGGGUUGGAGAGAGAGAUUUAUGGUUUUCUGUUGUCGUGGUUCUUGUUGGAUACGUUGGUGUCAUUUGUUUUUGCCGUGGAUGCAUGGAUUGCGAUGGUAGACACCAGGAAGAGUGUGAGGGAAGUUGUAAAAGAAGGUUGCCAUUUGUUGUCGAUAAUGUUGCAUCCUGCCAUCAAUCUUAAGUGUUUAGAGGGUAUUGUUUGCGGGUCAUUUGCAAGAUGGUUGCUGUCACGAUUCUUCGGCAGGUUGUUUGCUUCUGCUUUCCAGUCUUUUAUGGAGGUUUACUUUAUGGUGGCUUGGCUUAUAUACUACUUCUCUGUUAAAUCCAAGGAUGCUAAUUCUAGUGGAAUACCAUUUGGUCAUAGAGAACUUGAGGGGUUGCUUGAAGAUGUUAGAUGAUCCUUGCUGCAAAUUCUCAUGACAUUCGCUUCCAUGCCACAAAAUUUGAGUGCCAAGUGAAGCGAAGCAUUCGUGGAAUACAUUUUGGAGAAACCGUUGAUAUCUUCCAUCAUUAGGUCAAGAACCGAACAUAAAUGACUUGAUGCAAAUAUACAUGGAAGAAGGGAAGAGCCAAGUCCAUGGUGAGGGUGAAAAUGGGGAAGAAUGAAGAACCUUUUUAGAGAAGGUAUCAAAACACAUAGCUUAAGCAGAGCAGCCAACUGUGAAGCUUUUCUGAUUUCUCUACUUCUGUUCAUUAGUGAAAUUACAGUGAAGUACUAGCUAGGGAAUGUGGUGCUUGUGUUAGGUUGCCAUAUUGCUUGGGUGCAGCAUGUGCGGCAUACGUGGCUUGGAGUGGGAUGAUAGCGUGGAGGCUUUUAUUAAGUUAUUUUGUCAAGGUUUUUAUUUAAAUCAUCUUUAAUUGUAUGCCACAACUGACAAAAAGGAAAGACAACACCAAAUUUUUAGUGAUCUUAUAUGCAUGUUUUAAGAAAAAUAUAAAGAUUCACUAUCCAAAUAAGUGUUAGUUACGUGUGUGGUGUAAUUUAAUUUUUUUUUUGGAAAUUACUAACCCACAGACCCACUAUGUUCCUCACCUGAUAAACCAUUCCUGCUUCAUAACCAGAAAAAAAGUGCGAAUGUACCUUUUAUAUGGAAAUCAUGUGGAUGUGGGUGAGUGCAAUAUCCCAACCACUAUGAAGAAUAGAACCAAAGCCAUUUACAUUACACGGUGGGCUUAGCAGUUAGCACACUGUAGCUAGAGGACCAAAUUUAAUAAUGACAAGGUUGAGCCACCAUUGCUUUAAACGCAGUACAUUUAUGGGUUCAUGAUGAUGGCUACAACACACUUGUUAACCCUCUUGCUCAAUAUGGUAUGUUUCUAUCGGAAAUAGUAAGUUCCAAUCUGCAGCAAUGGCGAGAAAUGCACUUAAAAUGGAAAAUCCUUGUUUUUUUUCAGCAGUUAAUGCCAAGUUCAAUUAGUUUAUUAACUUAGUAACUUGUACACGAGUAUAUGAACAACUAAACCUGAUAUAUCCACCUGUUCAAGUGACUUUUGAUAUUUUAAUAGCCAAAAUUUGAAGAAGCCUAUUUUACCCUAGCAAGUAGCAACAAGGGAGUUUGAGCAUGCUUGUUGUAAGUUUCUAAACUGAAAGGCAAAAAAAUUAAAAAUCCCAUAUAAUGAUAGUGUUCAUCUCUGAUUUCAGUCAUCUUUGCAGUCAAUUCGGAGAGAAGGCUCACAUUACAGGGUUCUGAGAAGCGAGAUCAAGUGAACCAAAAUAGAAGUCAAAUGAGUGCUGGAUUUGGUUAAAUUAGAUUUAUCAUUAAGGUUGUAGUUAUUAGAUUUUAUUACCGAAUUGAAUUUUUGCUGGAUCAGCCAUUAACUGCAGCAACUUCCUAAAUUUCAAAAGCUAUCCCAUCUGGAUGAGGACAUAAAGUAGACAAGAGUUCCUGAUUAUUCCAUGGGAAUAGGUUCAUCUCUGAAUUCCAAUACUUUUCUAUUGGAGCUUUCCUUGCUCCUUUUAUCGAGCAUAAACGAGAAGAGACAGUGGAGGAAACAGAUAACAGGCCCAUAACUUUUACCACCGCUCUGUCUUUGCUGCAAUUCAUUCUUCAUAGAGAGAUGGAAAAAGAAGGGAGACAAUGGGCCUUGGAAAGAGAGAUCGUGAUUUAUUCAAGGCUAACGACUGUCUGAUCUAGAUUAAGUUGCUUUAAUUGUCCUAAUCACAAUUUCUCAUUUCAAUUUAGCCUUUCAACUUUUUCUUCAUCCUUGUAUCCCUCCUGCUAUCACAAGAAGACAAUGAUCCUCCAUCUUCUUUCAAAGUGGAGCAGGAACAAUUCAACAUCUUCAGGGAUGAAUUGUGGCUAUAGUUUAGGUUUGACCAGUAUCUGGAAGUUUGAAAAUGGGAUGAAUUUAGGCGAGUUCUUCCAUAGCUGAAAGCCUGAAAUAACAAAGCAAGGUACAUUUCUCACUUCACUAAGAUACAAGUGGAUUUUACAAAUCUAGCCAUGGAAAAAGGGUUUACUGGGUAUGAAGAGGGAUAUAUGGAAAUCCAAGAAACUAAUAAGGGUUUUGAUUUGCCUAAACUGU